rnacentral:rRNA from 1 species
AACGAACGCUGGCGGCAGGCUUAAUACAUGCAAGUCAAACGGGUGUAGCAAUACACAAGUGGCGCAAGGGUGAGAAACGCGUGGGAAUAUGCCUUUUGGUACGGAACAACCACGGGAAACUGUGGCUAAUACCGUAUGGUCCCUUCGGGUAAGAUUAUCGCCAAAGAGUAGCCCGCGUCAGAUUAGCUAGUUGGUAGGGUAACGGCCUACCAAGGCUACGAUCUGUAGCUGGUCUUAGAGGACGAUCAGCCACACUGGAACUGAGACACGGUCCAGACUCCUACGGGAGGCAGCAGUAGGGAAUAUUGGACAAUGGGGAA